GAGAUCUUAGUUUAAUGGUAAAACAUGCGACUUUUAAUCGUUAUAAUGUGGGUUCAAGUCCCACAGAUCUUA